rnacentral:rRNA from 1 species
AGAGUUUGAUUAUGGCUCAGGAUGAACGCUAGCGACAGGCUUAACACAUGCAAGUCGAGGGGCAGCAUAGAAGUAGCAAUACUUGGUGGCGACCGGCGCACGGGUGAGUAACGCGUAUGCAACCUACCUAUCAGAGGGGAAUAACCCGGCGAAAGUCGGACUAAUACCGCAUAAAACAGGGGCACCGCAUGGUGAUAUUUGUUAAAGAAAUUCGCUGAUAGAUGGGCAUGCGUUCCAUUAGGUAGUUGGUGAGGUAACGGCUCACCAAGCCGACGAUGGAUAGGGGAACUGAGAGGUUGGUCCCCCACACUGGUACUGAGACACGGACCAGACUCCUACGGGAGGCAGCAGUGAGGAAUAUUGGUCAAUGGGCGGGAGCCUGAACCAGCCAAGUCGCGUGAAGGAAAGAAGGAUCUAUGGUUCGUAAACUUCUUUUGCAGGGGAAUAAAGUGCAGGACGUGUCCUGUUUUGUAUGUACCCUGAGAAUAAGGAUCGGCUAACUCCGUGCCAGCAGCAGC